CAAUAGCGUAUAUUAAAGUUGUUGCGGUUAAAAAGCUCGUAGUUGGAUUUCUGCCGAGGACGACCGGUCCGCCCUCCGGGUGAGUAUCUGGCUCGGCCUGGGCAUCUUCUUGGAGAACGUAGCUGCACUUGGCUGUGUGGUGCGGUAUUCAGGACUUUUACUUUGAGGAAAUUAGAGUGUUUCAAGCAGGCAUACGCCUUGAAUACAUUAGCAUGGAAUAAUAAGAUAGGACCUCGGUUCUAUUUUGUUGGUUUCUAGAUCUGAGGUAAUGAUUAAUAGGGAUAGUUGGGGGCAUUCGUAUUUAACUGUCAGAGGUGAAAUUCUUGGGUUUGUUAAAGACGGACUACUGCGAAAGCAUUUGCCAAGGAUGUUUUCAUUGA
rnacentral:rRNA from 1 species